rnacentral:rRNA from 1 species
GGCGAGUACCUGACGGACGGGUGAGUAAUGCAUGGGAAUCUGCCCAGUGGUGGGGAAUAACCCGGGGAAACUCGGGCUAAUACCGCAUACGCCCCAUGGGGGAAAGCGGGGGAUCUUCGGACCUCGCGCCAUUGGAUGAGCCCAUGUCAGAUUAGCUUGUUGGUGGGGUAACGGCCUACCAAGGCGACGAUCUGUAGCUGGUCUGAGAGGACGAUCAGCCACACUGGGACUGAGACACGGCCCAGACUCCUACGGGAGGCAGCAGUGGGGAAUAUUGGACAAUGGGCGAAAGCCUGAUCCAGCAAUGCCGCGUGUGUGAAGAAGGCCUGCGGGUUGUAAAGCACUUUCAGCGGGGAGGAAAAACCCGGGGCGAACACCCCCGGGCUUUGACGUGAACCGCAGAAGAAGCACCGGCUAACUCCGUGCCAGCAGCCGCGGUAAUACGGAGGGUGCGAGCGUUAAUCGGAAUUACUGGGCGUAAAGCGCACGUAGGAGGCUGGAUCAGUCAGGUGUGAAAUCCCCGGGCUUAACCUGGGAACCGCAUCUGAUACUGUCCGGCUAGAGUUUGGCAGAAGAUAGCGGAAUUCCGGGUGUAGCGGUGGAAUGCGUAGAUAUCCGGAAGAACACCA